AAUCAACGCUGGCGGCGUGCCUCAGACAUGUAAGUCGAACGAUUAAAGCUCUCUUCGGAGAGUGCAUAGAGUGGCGCACGGGUGAGUAACACGUAAGUAAUCUACCUUCGAGUGGAGAAUAACGUCCGGAAACGGACGCUAAUACCGCAUAAUGCAGCGGCAUCGUAAGAUGACAGUUGUUAAAGAUUUAUCGCUUGAAGAGGAGCUUGCGGCAGAUUAGCUAGUUGGUAAGGUAAUGGCUUACCAAGGCUACGAUCUGUAACCGGUCUUAGAGGACGGUCGGUCACACUGACACUGAAUAACGGGUCAGACUCCUACGGGAGGCAGCAGUCGGGAAUUUUGGGCAAUGGGCGAAAGCCUGACCCAGCAACGCCGCGUGAAGGAUGAAGUAUUUCGGUAUGUAAACUUCGAAAGAAUAGGAAGAAUAAAUGACGGUACUAUUUAUAAGGUCCGGCUAACUACGUGCCAGCAGCCGCGGUAAU
rnacentral:rRNA from 1 species